CCUACGGGUGGCAGCAGUGGGGAAUAUUGCACAAUGGGGGAAACCCUGAUGCAGCGACGCCGCGUGAGUGAAGAAGUAUUUCGGUAUGUAAAGCUCUAUCAGCAGGGAAGAUAGUGACGGUACCUGACUAAGAAGCACCGGCUAACUACGUGCCAGCAGCCGCGGUAAUACGGAGGGGGCAAGCGUUAUCCGGAUUUACUGGGGGUAACGCGUGCGUAGGUGGCAGGGCAAGUCAGAUGUGAAGGCCCCGGGCUCAACCCCGGUACUGCAUUUGAAACUGUCCAGCUGGAGUGCAGGAGAGGAUAGUGGAAUUCCUAGUGUAGGGGUGAAAUGCGUAGAUAUUAGGAGGAACAUCAGUGGCGAAGGCGGCUUACUGGACUGUAACUGACACUGAGGCACGAAAGCGUGGGGAGCAAACAGGAUUAGAUACCCUUGUAGUC
rnacentral:rRNA from 1 species